UUCACCAACAUCUUGUACAAGCUCAACAUGAUUUCCCAACUUUAAUACUCGAUGCUCUGAAUGAUGAA